rnacentral:lncRNA from 1 species
GGCAGCUCGGGACGCCCGAAGACAAGAUUUUUCACCGUGAAAAUGUCUUCCACCGCCACCCCGCCGCCGGCGACCGCCGCGAGCAAGAAGAAGACUCAGAAGCAGGAGAUCAAGGAGUCCCUUUUGACGCCGCGGUUCUACACGACGGAUUUCGAUGAAAUGGAGCAGCUCUUCAACACCGAGAUCAACAAGAACUUGAACAUGGCGGAGUUCGAGGCUCUGCUGCAGGAGUUCAAGACCGACUUCAACCAGACACAUUUCGUGAGGAAUAAGGAAUUCAAGGAGGCUGCUGACAAGCUGCAGGGGCCGUUGAGACAAAUUUUUGUCGAAUUCUUGGAGAGGUCUUGCACUG